CCCAAGUAGCGGCGAGCGAACGGGGAGCAGCCCAGAGCCUGAAUCAGUGUGUGUGUUAGUGGAAGCGUCUGGAAAGGCGCGCGAUACAGGGUGACAGCCCCGUACACAAAAAUGCACAUAUUGUGAGCUCGAUGAGUAGGGCGGGACACGUGGUAUCCUGUCUGAAUAUGGGGGGACCAUCCUCCAAGGCUAAAUACUCCUGACUGACCGAUAGUGAACCAGUACCGUGAGGGAAAGGCGAAAAGAACCCCGGCGAGGGGAGUGAAAAAGAACCUGAAACCGUGUACGUACAAGCAGUGGGAGCACGCUUAGGCGUGUGACUGCGUACCUUUUGUAUAAUGGGUCAGCGACUUAUAUUCUGUAGCAAGGUUAACCGAAUAGGGGAGCCGAAGGGAAACCGAGUCUUAACUGGGCGUUAAGUUGCAGGGUAUAGACCCGAAACCCGGUGAUCUAGCCAUGGGCAGGUUGAAGGUUGGGUAACACUAACUGGAGGACCGAACCGACUAAUGUUGAAAAAUUAGCGGAUGACUUGUGGCUGGGGGUGAAAGGCCAAUCAAACCGGGAGAUAGCUGGUUCUCCCCGAAAGCUAUUUAGGUAGCGCCUCGUGAAUUCAUCUCCGGGGGUAGAGCACUGUUUCGGCAAGGGGGUCAUCCCGACUUACCAACCCGAUGCAAACUGCGAAUACCGGAGAAUGUUAUCACGGGAGACACACGGCGGGUGCUAACGUCCGUCGUGAAGAGGGAAACAACCCAGACCGCCAGCUAAGGUCCCAAAGUCAUGGUUAAGUGGGAAACGAUGUGGGAAGGCCCAGACAGCCAGGAUGUUGGCUUAGAAGCAGCCAUCAUUUAAAGAAAGCGUAAUAGCUCACUGGUCGAGUCGGCCUGCGCGGAAGAUGUAACGGGGCUAAACCAUG
rnacentral:rRNA from 1 species